rnacentral:rRNA from 1 species
CCCCUAGUAACGGCGAGUGAAGCGGGAACAGCUCAAAUUUGAAAUCUGGCCUUCUGGUCCGAGUUGUAAUUUGUAGAGGUAUAAUCUUAGUCUGGUGCCUUCUGAGUUCCUUGGAACAGGACGCCUUAGAGGGUGAGAGCCCCGUACAGUUGGACACCAGUCUAUUGUGAUUAGCCUUCGACGAGUCGAGUAGUUUGGGAAUGCUGCUCUAAAUGGGAGGUAAAUUUCUUCUAAAGCUAAAUACCGGCCAGAGACCGAUAGCGCACAAGUAGAGUGAUCGAAAGAUGAAAAGCACUUUGAAAAGAGGGUUAAAUAGCACGUGAAAUUGUUGAAAGGGAAGCACUUAUGACCAGACUUUUUCCUGGAGGAUCAUCCGGUGUUCUCACCGGUGCACUUCUCCUGGUUUAGGCCAGCGUCGAUUUCCGCAGGGGGAUAAAGGCUUCGGGAAUGUGACUCCCUUCGGGGAGUGUUAUAGCCCGUUGCGUAAUACCCUUGUGGGGAUCGAGGUUCGCGCUCUGCAAGGACGCUGGCAUAAUGGUCAUCAGUGACCCGUCUUGAAACACGGACCAAGGAGUCGAACAUUUAUGCGAGUGUUUGGGUGUUAAACCCUCACGCGUAAUGAAAGUGAACGGAGGUGAGAGCCCUUACGGGUGCAUCAUCGACCGAUCCUGAUGUCUUCGGAUGGAUUUGAGUAAGAGCAUAACUGUUCGGACCCGAAAGAUGGUGAACUAUGCGUGGAUAGGGUGAAGCCAGAGGAAACUCUGGUGGAGGCUCGCAGCGGUUCUGAC